UACAGAGGGUGCGAGCGUUAAUCGGAAUUACUGGGCGUAAAGCGCACGUAGGUGGCUUAGUAAGUCGGGUGUGAAAUCCCCAGGCUUAACCUGGGAACUGCAUUCGAGACUGCAUUGCUAGAGUAUGGGAGAGGGAAGUGGAAUUUCCGGUGUAGCGGUGAAAUGCGUAGAUAUCGGAAGGAACAUCAGUGGCGAAAGCGACUUCCUGGACCAAUACUGACGCUCAUGCACGAAAGCGUGGGGAGCAAACAGG
rnacentral:rRNA from 1 species